rnacentral:rRNA from 1 species
GGUUAAGCGACUAAGCGUACACGGUGGAUGCCCUGGCAGUCAGAGGCGAUGAAGGACGUGCUAAUCUGCGAUAAGCGUCGGUAAGGUGAUAUGAACCGUUAUAACCGGCGAUUUCCGAAUGGGGAAACCCAGUGUGUUUCGACACACUAUCAUUAACUGAAUCCAUAGGUUAAUGAGGCGAACCGGGGGAACUGAAACAUCUAAGUACCCCGAGGAAAAGAAAUCAACCGAGAUUCCCCCAGUAGCGGCGAGCGAACGGGGAGCAGCCCAGAGCCUGAAUCAGUGUGUGUGUUAGUGGAAGCGUCUGGAAAGGCGCGCGAUACAGGGUGACAGCCCCGUACACAAAAAUGCACAUACUGUGAGCUCGAUGAGUAGGGCGGGACACGUGGUAUCCUGUCUGAAUAUGGGGGGACCAUCCUCCAAGGCUAAAUACUCCUGACUGACCGAUAGUGAACCAGUACCGUGAGGGAAAGGCGAAAAGAACCCCGGCGAGGGGAGUGAAAAAGAACCUGAAACCGUGUACGUACAAGCAGUGGGAGCACGCUUCGGCGUGUGACUGCGUACCUUUUGUAUAAUGGGUCAGCGACUUAUAUUCUGUAGCAAGGUUAACCGAAUAGGGGAGCCGAAGGGAAACCGAGUCUUAACUGGGCGUUAAGUUGCAGGGUAUAGACCCGAAACCCGGUGAUCUAGCCAUGGGCAGGUUGAAGGUUGGGUAACACUAACUGGAGGACCGAACCGACUAAUGUUGAAAAAUUAGCGGAUGACUUGUGGCUGGGGGUGAAAGGCCAAUCAAACCGGGAGAUAGCUGGUUCUCCCCGAAAGCUAUUUAGGUAGCGCCUCGUGAAUUCAUCUCCGGGGGUAGAGCACUGUUUCGGCAAGGGGGUCAUCCCGACUUACCAACCCGAUGCAAACUGCGAAUACCGGAGAAUGUUAUCACGGGAGACACACGGCGGGUGCUAACGUCCGUCGUGAAGAGGGAAACAACCCAGACCGCCAGCUAAGGUCCCAAAGUCAUGGUUAAGUGGGAAACGAUGUGGGAAGGCCCAGACAGCCAGGAUGUUGGCUUAGAAGCAGCCAUCAUUUAAAGAAAGCGUAAUAGCUCACUGGUCGAGUCGGCCUGCGCGGAAGAUGUAACGGGGCUAAACCAUGCACCGAAGCUGCGGCAGCGACACUAUGUGUUGUUGGGUAGGGGAGCGUUCUGUAAGCCUGUGAAGGUGU